UACGAAGGGUGCAAGCGUUACUCGGAAUCACUGGGCGUAAAGCGUGCGUAGGCGGUUCGUUAAGUCUGCUGUGAAAGCCCUGGGCUCAACCUGGGAACUGCAGUGGAUACUGGCGGACUAGAGUGUGAUAGAGGAUGGUGGAAUUCCCGGGUGUAGCGGUGAAAUGCGUAGAGAUCGGGAGGAACACCAGUGGCGAAGGCGGCCAUCUGGAUCAACACUGACGCUGAGGCACGAAAGCGUGGGGAGCAAACAGGG
rnacentral:rRNA from 1 species